CGCUAAUACCGCAUACGAUCUACGGAUGAAAGCGGGGGAUCGCAAGACCUCGCGCGAGUGGAGCGGCCGAUGUCAGAUUAGGUAGUUGGUGGGGUAAAGGCUCACCAAGCCAACGAUCUGUAGCUGGUCUGAGAGGACGACCAGCCACACUGGAACUGAGACACGGUCCAGACUCCUACGGGAGGCAGCAGUGGGGAAUUUUGGACAAUGGGCGCAAGCCUGAUCCAGCCAUUCCGCGUGCAGGAUGAAGGCCUUCGGGUUGUAAACUGCUUUUGUACGGAACGAAACGGCGAGCUCUAAUACAGUUUGCUAAUGACGGUACCGUAAGAAUAAGCACCGGCUAACUACGUG
rnacentral:rRNA from 1 species